rnacentral:rRNA from 1 species
GACGAACGCUGGUGGCGUGCUUAACACAUGCAAGUCGAACGGAAAGGCCCUGCUUUUGUGGGGUGCUCGAGUGGCGAACGGGUGAGUAACACGUGAGUAACCUGCCCUUGACUUUGGGAUAACUUCAGGAAACUGGGGCUAAUACCGGAUAGGAGCUCCUGCUGCAUGGUGGGGGUUGGAAAGUUUCGGCGGUUGGGGAUGGACUCGCGGCUUAUCAGCUUGUUGGUGGGGUAGUGGCUUACCAAGGCUUUGACGGGUAGCCGGCCUGAGGGGGUGACCGGCCACAUUGGGACUGAGAUACGGCCCAGACUCCUACGGGAGGCAGCAGUGGGGAAUAUUGCACAAUGGGCGGAAGCCUGAUGCAGCAACGCCGCGUGCGGGAUGACGGCCUUCGGGUUGUAAACCGCUUUCGCCUGUGACGAAGCGUGAGUGACGGUAAUGGGUAAAGAAGCACCGGCUAACUACGUGCCAGCAGCCGCGGUGAUACGUAGGGUGCGAGCGUUGUCCGGAUUUAUUGGGCGUAAAGGGCUCGUAGGUGGUUGAUCGCGUCGGAAGUGUAAUCUUGGGGCUUAACCCUGAGCGUGCUUUCGAUACGGGUUGACUUGAGGAAGGUAGGGGAGAAUGGAAUUCCUGGUGGAGCGGUGGAAUGCGCAGAUAUCAGGAGGAACACCAGUGGCGAAGGCGGUUCUCUGGGCCUUUCCUGACGCUGAGGAGCGAAAGCGUGGGGAGCGAACAGGCUUAGAUACCCUGGUAGUCCACGCUGUAAACGGUGGGUACUAGGUGUGGGGUCCAUUCCACGGGUUCCGUGCCGUAGCUAACGCUUUAAGUACCCCGCCUGGGGAGUACGGCCGCAAGGUUAAAACUCAAAGGAAUUGACGGGGCCCCGCACAAGCGGCGGAGCAUGCGGAUUAAUUCGAUGCAACGCGUAGAACCUUACCUGGGUUUGACAUGGAUCGGGAGUGCUCAGAGAUGGGUGUGCCUCUUUUGGGGUCGGUUCACAGGUGGUGCAUGGCUGUCGUCAGCUCGUGUCGUGAGAUGUUGGGUUAAGUCCCGCAACGAGCGCAACCCUUGUUCACUGUUGCCAGCACGUUAUGGUGGGGACUCAGUGGAGACCGCCGGGGUCAACUCGGAGGAAGGUGGGGAUGACGUCAAGUCAUCAUGCCCCUUAUGUCCGGGGCUUCACGCAUGCUACAAUGGCUGGUACAGAGAGUGGCGAGCCUGUGAGGGUGAGCGAAUCUCGGAAAGCCGGUCUCAGUUCGGAUUGGGGUCUGCAACUCGACCUCAUGAAGUCGGAGUCGCUAGUAAUCGCAGAUCAGCAACGCUGCGGUGAAUACGUUCCCGGGGCU